rnacentral:rRNA from 1 species
AUUGAACGCUGGCGGAAUGCUUUACACAUGCAAGUCGAACGGCAGCACGGACUUCGGUCUGGUGGCGAGUGGCGAACGGGUGAGUAAUACAUCGGAACAUGCCCAGUCGUGGGGGAUAACGUAGCGAAAGCUACGCUAAUACCGCAUACGAUCUAAGGAUGAAAGCGGGGGAUCGCAAGACCUCGCGCGAUUGGAGCGGCCGAUGGCAGAUUAGGUAGUUGGUAGGGUAAAGGCCUACCAAGCCGACGGUCUGUAGCUGGUCUGAGAGGAUGGUCAGCCCCACUGGGACUGAGACACGGCCCAGGCUCCUACGGGAGGCAGCAGUGGGGAAUUUUGGACAAUGGGAGCAAGCCUGAUCCAGCCAUUCCGCGUGCAGGAUGAAGGCCUUCGGGUUGUAAACUGCUUUUGUACAGAACGAAAAGGCUCUGGUUAAUACCCGGGGCUCAUGACGGUACUGUAAGAAUAAGCACCGGCUAACAACGUGCCAGCAGCCGCCGUAA